rnacentral:rRNA from 1 species
GGAGGUGGAAGUGCAGUAAUGCAUGGAGCUGACCAAUACUAAUCGGUCGAGGGCUUAUCCUAUA